CCUACGGGAGGCAGCAGUAAGGAAUAUUGGACAAUGCCCGCAAGGGUGAUCCAGCCAUGCCGCGUGCAGGAAGAAGGCCCUAUGGGUCGUAAACUGCUUUUACACCGGAGAAAACCUCCCUUCGUGAAGGGAGCUGAUAGUAUGGUGAGAAUAAGCAUCGGCUAACUUCGUGCCAGCAGCCGCGGUAAGACGAAGGAUGCAAGCGUUAUCCGGAUUCAUUGGGUUUAAAGGGAGCGUAGGUGGACUGAUAAGUCAGUGGUGAAAUCUUCGAGCUUAACUCGGAAAUUGCCAUUGAUACUGUUAGUCUUGAGUACAGUUGCUGUGGGCGGAAUAUGACAUGUAGUGGUGAAAUACAUAGAGAUGUCAUAGAACACCGAUUGCGAAGGCAGCUCACAAAGCUGUAACUGACACUGAGCGUCGAAGUAGCGGGAGUACAACAGGAGUAGUAUACCUACGGUACGUACCGCACUAGUAACGUAGUAGUAUUACUACGUC
rnacentral:rRNA from 1 species